rnacentral:rRNA from 1 species
CCUACGGGAGGCAGCAGUAGGGAAUCUUCCGCAAUGGACGAAAGCCUGACGGAGCAACGCCGCGUGAGUGAUGAAGGUCUUCGGCUCGUAAAGCUCUGUCGGCAGGGAAGAACGUUCGCGGUAGUAACUAGCCUUGAAUUGACGGUACCUACUUAGAAAGCCACGGCUAACUACGUGCCAGCAGCCGCGGUAAUACGUAGGUGGCAAGCGUUAUCCGGAAUUAUUGGGCGUAAAGCGCGCGUAGGCGGUUGAUUAAGUCUAAUGUGAAAGCCUUCGGCUCAACCGGGGAAUUGCAUUUGAAACUGGCAAACUGGAGUGUAGAAGAGGAGAGUGGAAUUCCAUGUGUAGCGGGGGAAUGCGGAGAUAUAUGGAGGAACACCAGUGGCGAAGGCGACUUUCUGGUCUGUAACUGACGCUGAGGAGCGAAAGCGUGGGUAGCGAACAGGAUUAGAUACCCCUGUAGUC